CCGCAGCCAAUUACGCACACCAACCCAAUUCUGUCUGUGUGGAGCUGGUGUGCAGUGGUUGCAGACAGCGUUUCCCUGAGUGUGUGUGUACCUUGUCCUUAAUACAGGGUAUUCUAAGGGACCUCUGAGACACUU
ensembl:snoRNA SNORA70 Small nucleolar RNA SNORA70